CCAUCCCAUCUCUUGGACAGAUGAUGCCAGUUAAUUACUUUGAAUGCAAGUUUGAAAACCACUGCUUUAAAGAAAAUGGAUACUCCCCUUACCAAGCAGAAAGUAGGAUUUUGGAAACUGAUGCAAGGGAAGCAAAAAAGAUGCCUCAGGAGGCACGAUUACAACAGGAUUGAUGCAAACGGAAGCUGAAGCUUAACCAAAGACAUUAAUGUACGCCCACAAAAGAAACUGCUAAGGAAGUCAAGUGGUCUGCAUGAAUUCUGAAGAAAAAUGGAGAACCAAAGAACAAAAUUUGUCAAUGAAUUUCCAGCACAGUCUAGGUUAAGGGAGUGAAUUUCUUGACUGAAUGGCACAGACUCUGUACCACCUGAUUGGCUGUUACCUUAAUGGAGGAAUUAUAUUACAAUGUAUAGGUACUUUAAUUAGAAUGACCUGGCAGUUACUGAGGCAAAAUUUUCCGCUCCUUUGUAUUCUGUAAUACAAGAAGGAUCUACAUGGAUGUUCUGUUCUCUGAACUGUCUGGAUGAACCGGUCAACGGCACUCAUCAUACCUUAGUUUUUAAAUCUGCAUUGUGGUCAUAAUCUGUUAUUUAAUUAAUUUCUCGUAUUUUUAAUAAAAACUUUGCCUAUA
ensembl:lncRNA novel transcript, antisense to LRRC37A3